CAAGACAAAGUACAGCACACAAGGAAUAAGGAGGGAGGGAAGCGUGGGGGAGGCUGACACUGUGGACUCUCCCAGCUCAGUCGACCCAUGCACCUUGCUUCAUGGAAGAAAGGAAUGGAAGAUGAAUCAUGCCUUUCACACACAGUGACCUUCCUCACUAGUAAAUGUGCCUCCAGAAGUGUCCAAGAACUCAGUGCCAGAGCCAGGCUGGCUGCAUGAGAAUCACCUGCGAGCUUUUGCAAACAUAGGCCCCUACUGGGUCCAGAUGUAUUCAUCUCUUGGAGAGGAGGAGAGAGGCAGAACAAAGAAAAGGAUGGGAAGAAACCAGCCCUGUGCACAGGAGGAUCCUGGGAUUCCUCCUGCACGUUUAGUGCAAUGCAGCCUAUUUUACAAGGUCACAGAAGCUCAGAGAGUCCUGGGAGAGAAGCAGACGUGGUUUCCAAUCCCACUUUCCAGAAGAGGAGACUGAGGCAGAGGCUUUGCAGAUACACAGAGGACAUGUGAGGACAGGUGAAGGUCAUGAUCAUUGUCAGCCCCCUCCCCCAACUUGACAUUCCCAGAUCUGGUGGACUUCCAGCCAGAGGAGAAAGAAGGAUUGGAUCACUCAACUCUGCCAUGGGUGCCAGGACCAAAUUUUUCCCUGGCUAACUCGGUCACAUCCUGUCUGGGAUCUCCAACUACUACCCAUCCCACAAGUCUCAGCUAAAACAGCAAUUCAACGAGGAACUUUUUUCUGAGGCUCCAGGAUUGGGCCAGGCCCUCUCCAUUGCUCUCUGCCCUUCCCCUACUGCAGAACUUAGCACCUGUAUGUCACUAUUGGUUCAAACAUGUGUCUUUCGUAUGCUCUCCACGUUAUCUGCAGCAUCUGCCAAGAAUAAUAAUGGAUGGUAAAACCUAAUCUCUAUUGAGUGUCGAUGAUGCACUUUUAACGUGACAUCUUAUUUAAUCCUCACUAUAUCUGCAAGAGUAGAAGCUAUUAAUAGCCAAUUUUCAGAUAAGAAAAUCAAAGCACAGUUUCUAUAACUUACCCAA
rnacentral:lncRNA from 10 species